CAUCAAUAAACUAUAAUAUCAUCUGUCUUGAAAUAAUAAUGUUCCUUAUAGAUUUUAGUAAGCAUUAACUGCAAUAGUUAUAAUGUCAAUAUAACUUUUAUCCCCGUACAAGCCCUUCCAUAUAUUUUGUGCAAUUUGUUUUUGCAUUUUAGCUCUUUUGCAACAUAAGGAUGUGUUUUGGAGCCAUUUCUUUUCAUUUGGAUUAAUUGCGUUAAAGAUUGAACUCGUACUCAAACUAAUGUGUCUUGUAAUCUCUCCCUGGGCGUGAGAGCCAUAGAGUGAUAUCGGAGAUUCAUGUUAACCUCUAUCCAAGUUAAUGUUAUUUAAGGAAAAGCCAAAGUGAAAUACCCAUUACUGGAACUGAGAGAAUCCCAGCAUUAGCAGAUAAGCUCUUUUCAGUGUGGAAAAUAUUGCUAAAUUGCCUGGUAGUGUGGCGAAAUGUAACAAUACAGAACAGGAG